AAUACAAAAUAUAUUUAUGUUUCGUACGAUGAAGGUAUAUUUUUUACAAAAGACAGAAAGAUAUUCAACAUGGAACCGCUUUCUGCCUUUUUAUUAGGCACGUGCUGCUGUAUGUGUUGGCAACCCACAGCAAGAUUAAUUUUAUUUUUCCUAUUUAUUUUUGUUUGUAGCCUGCUUAUUGCCGUUUUGUCUAUCUUUGCCAAUAAUACCGCUGCCGAUAUUAAUCACUGGGCAGAGACGUCAAAUCAACCAGAAUUUGCAAUGCAAGGAGGAAGAUAAUUAUUCAAGCAAUGUCCAAGACUAUCCUUUUCAAUGUUUCAACGGCCAGCGCUAUAAUGUUAUUGUGACCAACAGUGGGAUUCAUUUCAAGCGAGUGAUCAACCACAUGCCCACGUUUAAUCCCAAUAUCAUUUGAUUUUGUCUUUCUGUGACUGUGAUUAUAUUUUGGUGAAAAUGUUGACGUUUUUUUUGUAGAAUUUAUUUUUUAAAGUCAUUUUUCUUUG